UACUCCUAGACUAGAAUACCAAGUUUCCACCGAUGCGGAACACAGAGUUUCAAGAAGAAGCGAAGAAAAUGAGAAGGAGCAGGAUAAUAGAAGAUAAAGGAAGCGGCUAACAGACGAAUAAGAGAGACGACACUCAUUGGCACCACAGCCGUGUAUUCCGGUAUCCAAGCAACAGGCAGAGACUGCAGUCUGCUCCUUUGUUACUUAUUGGGCUUACUCAUCACCCCUGAAGAUGAAGGCAACAAGUUCUUCAGGUCAUCAAAAUCCGGGCCCUGGUGAUUACACAUGGGAUUUAAUUCUGGAUUUUCUCUUAAGAAGGCUUUCUACUCAAGAAUACAACAGGAUACAUCAAAAUGUAAUUGGAAGACUAAUUGCACCGAAAGAUUGGCAUAGGCAGAAAAAAAAAGUAAAAUCUUCGCUGUUCUUAAUUCAGAACAAGAUCCCCGGUGCGAUUGCAUAGAAUGCUCAGUCGGUCAAGAAGCCGAUACUGAUUCUGUGGAGAAGAGAAAAAUCUGUGACUCUGCUGGAAACCAAACCCACGUUCGAGCCUAGUCAUUAUACUGACUGAGAUUGGAAGUGUAAUUUGGAGAAAAAAAUAUGCAUGUUUAAGAAGUUAAUUGCCUUAAGGGGCGAAAAAUAAUUUACCGACUCAGAAAUUUACCCUCCCCCCGUGAGAGUCAAAAAAUAUCCAGCGGCAUGAUAAUGCAGAACCGGUUUCAAUUUGGGAAAUUCAAAUAAAUUAAUUUAAUUUGAAUCCAUAAAUUUGGACAAAUAUUAUAUGGAGCUGAACACUUUCUUCACAGAGAAAUGUGUAGGUUCUCUUAAUUAUGGUCAUAACAAAUCCACAAGUCCAAGUAUAAAACACACUCUACAACAGAGAACAAUAAAUUACUAUUAGUACUGUCACGUAUAUGAGUGAAGGGGUUUGGAUUGGUAACUGGAUUUAUUGAACACUUACGCAUCGUAACUACAACUAACUACAGCGCUUUCGCUAAUUCACACGCUCUGCAGUUGGCUACAGAAAGAACUCAGUCUUUCAGUAUGCUGUAUCAUCACCAGUCGUUGCCUGGUAACGACUUUAGCAAAGGACGUUACCCUUCCUCGGGGUUCCCGAUGCCUCGGCUAGCAGCUUCUAACAGCAACAGCUUAC